GACGAACGCUGGCGGCGUGCUUAACACAUGCAAGUCGAACGGAAAGGCCCUGCUUUUGUGGGGUGCUCGAGUGGCGAACGGGUGAGUAACACGUGAGUAACCUGCCCUUGACUUUGGGAUAACUUCAGGAAACUGGGGCUAAUACCGGAUAGGAGCUCCUGCUGCAUGGUGGGGGUUGGAAAGUUUCGGCGGUUGGGGAUGGACUCGCGGCUUAUCAGCUUGUUGGUGGGGUAGUGGCUUACCAAGGCUUUGACGGGUAGCCGGCCUGAGAGGGUGACCGGCCACAUGGGGACUGAGAUACGGCCCAGAGUCCUACGGGAGGCAGCAGUGGGGAAUAUUGCACAAUGGGCGGAAGCCUGAUGCAGCAACGCCGCGUGCGGGAUGACGGCCUUCGGGUGGUAAACCGCUUUCGCCUGUGACGAAGCGUGAGUGACGGUAAUGGGUAAAGAAGCACCGGCUAACUACGUG
rnacentral:rRNA from 1 species